rnacentral:rRNA from 1 species
AACGAACGCUGGCGGCAGGCCUAACACAUGCAAGUCGAGCGAGGACUUCGGUCCUAUCGGCGGACGUGUGAGGAACGCGUGGUAACUUGCCCUUUGCUUCGGAAUACCCCUGGUAAACUGGGAGUAAUACCGGUUGGGCCCUUUCGGGGAAAGACUUAUGGGCGAAGGAUCGGCCCGCGUUGGAUUAGGUAGUUGGUGGGGUAAUGGCCUACCAAGCCGACGAUCCAUGGCUGGUUUGUGAGGAUGAUCAUCCACGAUGGCACUGAGACACGGCCCAGAAUCCGACGGGAGGGAGCAGUGGGGAACACUAGACAAUGAGGCAAAACCUGACAUCGCCAUGCCGCGUGAGACAUGAAGGCCUUAGGAUUGUACAGCCCUUUCAGCUGAGAAGAGAAUGACGGUAACAGCAGAAGAAGCACCGGCUAACUACGUG